CUUGGUUUAGUAUGUCAUGUGGUUCUGAACCAUUCAAAAGUUUAUGCUUUGAGAUAUCUUGAAAAUUUUCAGAUUUUGAAUCUGAAAAAAAUUUGCUAUUCUUUUAAUAUGACUCAUAAGAACAAAUCAGAUGGAUAAAGAGAAGUUGACUUCGUAUUAGUGUGUUGGUUUUGUGCACAAGUAUAUUCAGCAGAUUAAAUUCUUGGAAUGGAUACAAUAACUCCAUAUCCUUUUUGUUUUAGGCUUGUACUGUUAUCUUCAGAAAAACAAGAUAAUUUUAUUCCCUGGGAAAAUGUCUGUACUAUCAUCUUAGACUGGUACAAACAAUAUUUCUAGGAAAGGAACAAGGACUUGAGUUUCUUUUUACUUGUCUGCAGAGUGCUCCUUUGUUCAGCUAUUUGUAUUUUUUCUGCUGCCUCUUUGCAUUUGGAAUUUUUUUUUUCUUGCUGCUGCUCGUGGGACGUGCUGUGCCUAUGGUAGUGCAGGACUGGCAGGACAGGGGAGCACCAGCUGCAGCCAAAGCAGAAGCCAGCCUGUUGUCCUCCCUGGGAUGAUCCUACUCUUUCAGCUUGCAUGUAGCGAUGGCAAAGGCAGCAAGCGAUUCCAGAGAAAUUCCUGUUCCAGCUACACAACUCAACAGACCACAACUGUGCCAUUACCUCACCCUGUUGGGGCAAGUCCUGCUUCUGCAGCUGCAGAGGGUCUCUGCCAGCUGCCCUGGGAGACUCCGGCUGCCCUCCCUGGGAGCCUGCACAGCCCACAGGGUGAGGAGCAUCAUGGGGGCAGCAGCAGUGCCACUCUUCAGCAUCUAUGGAAGCCCUAGAGGGAAGAGGAGUGGUGGGGACAUGGCUAGUCCUUGGCUCUCGGUGCAGGGGGAACCUGGACCCAUUAAGGUGGCACUACUGAUGCAGUGAGACAACCUGCACCCAAAGCAGUCUACUGAUCCCUAAUGUUUGGUGUGUUUUCCUGCUAAAUUUUUCUUGAUUUUGGAGGGAAAGUUAGGAGAUUGCUUUUUCUCUUGAAUUAACCAGGUCGAUUUUGACAUUCAGAGACAGUAUAAACAGGUUUUACCUUGGAAAUCUGCAGCUUAGAAGAACUAAACUGUUGUUUAAACAAAAUUAAUUUCACUUUACUGUCAGAAUAAAAUAUUUCCGAAGAUUUCUGUUUUUUGGGAAUUGCUUGAAAAUGCCAACUUUCAUUUGGAUGGAAUUCGCUGAACUAGUAAUAUUCAUAAAUAAUCUUUACAGCCUUGCCUAGUUAGAAGAACCCCAUGCCUGUCCCACCAGUAUGCCUUGACCUCAU
rnacentral:lncRNA from 13 species